CCGGAUUUGGUGUUCGUUUCAGA
rnacentral:siRNA from 1 species